CUUCAUAACAGAGCUACUGCUCAGCAACUUCACCGACAGCAACCAUGACUUUGAUCAGCGUCUUCAUCUGCACACUGGCCCUCUGGACUCAAGGAUCCAGAGGUCAGGAGACUGUGACUCAGACUCCUUCAGUGCAAACUGUUACUCCAGGAAACACAGUCACCAUCAACUGUAGAACCAGUAGCAGAGUGGAGAGCGGUACCAGUCUACACUGGUACCUGCAGAAAUCUGGAGAACAUCCUAAACUCCUGAUUUAUGAGACGAAAACCUUAUAUUCAGGAACUCCAGCUCGUUUCACGGGCAGUGGAUCUGAUACUUUCUUCACGUUGACCAUCAGUGGAGUCCAGACUGAAGAUGCAGGAGAUUAUUACUGUAAGGCUGAACAUUUGAUCAGCGGUAGCUAUGUGUUUACACAGUGUUAGAGCAUCAUACAAAAACCUCAGUCAUGCAGAGUGCACAGAGAAACAUUGCUGCAGCUGGGAGCAACUGCAGGUGCUGAGAAGGAGGAUGUGAUACACCACAAUGACACAGUGGACGAGAGAAAACAUCACACUAACACACUAAUACACACACGUCUGUGAGAGGAGUCCACCUUACUCAACUUUGGAUCAUUUUUACUGAACAUAUUAAUCUAAUAGUGAUAGUGAAUAUGAGACAGAAUUUCCUGUUGGUGAAGUCCAGCAUGAAGAUGCAGGAGAUCAGUCCAGCCAACACACACACACACACACACACACACACACACACACACACACCUGAGAAUAGUGACACUCAGGUCACCAUCAACUGUACAUCAUUCUAGAAUCAUUUCCUCCCUUUGGGGAAUUUUUCCUCCCUGUGGAACACACAUGAGGAGGUGGAUUAUCUCACAUGCUACACACACAUAGAAAAUAUGGUUCCUCUGUUGGUUGGUUGGUUGGUCGUUCUGACUUUCUAAAGAGGUUCCUCCAGAGGAACAAGCAAGAGGGCUCGAAGUAAAGCAGCAGCAGCCAAACUUACUCAGUAGAGUCCACUCUGUAAAGUUACUGGUUUUAGUAAAACACACUGAUUAUGCUCUGUUCACAUGCAUGAUGGCUGUAGUCAAGAUCACCACUGUCAAGUACAACACCAGUCACAUGACCAGGACUAGCAGAGAUCGAAUCCAUCCAUCCAUCUGGGGAACACAAUUUUUGUUGAGUUAGGUCUGACAGCUGUUUUUAACUAAUUUUUGGG